rnacentral:rRNA from 1 species
AUUGAACGCUGGCGGCAUGCCUUACACAUGCAAGUCGAACGGCAGCACGGGAGCAAUCCUGGUGGCGAGUGGCGAACGGGUGAGUAAUAUAUCGGAACGCGCCCAGUAGUGGGGAUAACUGCUCGAAAGAGCAGCUAAUACCGCAUACGACCUGAGGGUGAAAGGGGGGGAUCGCAAGACCUCUCGCUAUUGGAGCGGCCGAUAUCAGAUUAGCUAGUUGGUGGGGUAAAGGCCUACCAAGGCAACGAUCUGUAGUUGGUCUGAGAGGACGACCAGCCACACUGGGACUGAGACACGGCCCAGACUCCUACGGGAGGCAGCAGUGGGGAAUUUUGGACAAUGGGCGCAAGCCUGAUCCAGCAAUGCCGCGUGCAGGAAGAAGGCCUUCGGGUUGUAAACUGCUUUUGUCAGGGAAGAAAUCCUCUAGGUUAAUACCCUUGGGGGGAUGACGGUACCUGAAGAAUAAGCACCGGCUAACUACGUGCCAGCCGCCGCGGUAACAC